CCUUAGGUCAGCGGCGGACGGGUGAGUAACACGUGGGUAACCUGCCUGUAAGACUGGGAUAACUCCGGGAAACCGGGGCUAAUACCGGAUGCUUGAUUGAACCGCAUGGUUCAAUCAUAAAAGGUGGCUUUUAGCUACCACUUGCAGAUGGACCCGCGGCGCAUUAGCUAGUUGGUGAGGUAACGGCUCACCAAGGCGACGAUGCGUAGCCGACCUGAGAGGGUGAUCGGCCACACUGGGACUGAGACACGGCCCAGACUCCUACGGGAGGCAGCAGUAGGGAAUCUUCCGCAAUGGACGAAAGUCUGACGGAGCAACGCCGCGUGAGUGAUGAAGGUUUUCGGAUCGUAAAACUCUGUUGUUAGGGAAGAACAAGUACCGUUCGAAUAGGGCGGCACCUUGACGGUACCUAACCAGAAAGCCACGGCUAACUACGUGCCAGCAGCCGCGGUAAUACGUAGGUGGCAAGCGUUGUCCGGAAUUAUUGGGCGUAAAGCGCGCGCAGGCGGUUUCUUAAGUCUGAUGUGAAAGCCCCCGGCUCAACCGGGGAGGGUCAUUGGAAACUGGGGAACUUGAGUGCAGAAGAGGAGAGUGGAAUUCCACGUGUAGCGGUGAAAUGCGUAGAGAUGUGGAGGAACACCAGUGGCGAAGGCGACUCUCUGGUCUGUAACUGACGCUGAGGCGCGAAAGCGUGGGGAGCGAACAGGAUUAGAUACCCUGGUAGUCCACGCCGUAAACGAUGAGUGCUAAGUGUUAGAGGGUUUCCGCCCUUUAGUGCUGCAGCAAACGCAUUAAGCACUCCGCCUGGGGAGUACGGUCGCAAGACUGAAACUCAAAGGAAUUGACGGGGGCCCGCACAAGCGGUGGAGCAUGUGGUUUAAUUCGAAGCAACGCGAAGAACCUUACCAGGUCUUGACAUCCUCUGACAACCCUAGAGAUAGGGCUUCCCCUUCGGGGGCAGAGUGACAGGUGGUGCAUGGUUGUCGUCAGCUCGUGUCGUGAGAUGUUGGGUUAAGUCCCGCAACGAGCGCAACCCUUGAUCUUAGUUGCCAGCAUUCAGUUGGGCACUCUAAGGUGACUGCCGGUGACAAACCGGAGGAAGGUGGGGAUGACGUCAAAUCAUCAUGCCCCUAUGACCGGGGCUACCACGUGCUACAUGGGCAGAACAAAGGGCACCAAACCGCGGAGGCUAACCAAUCCCCAAAUUGUU
rnacentral:rRNA from 1 species